rnacentral:misc_RNA from 1 species
GGGAGUAAAAGUCGUAACAAGGUUUCCGUAGGUGAACCUGCGGAAGGAUCAUUACAGAGUUCAUGCCCUCACGGGUAGAUCUCCCACCCUUGAAUAUUUAUACCUUAGUUGCUUUGGCAGGCCGUGGAAACACCAUGGGCUCCGGCUUAUGCGUGCCUGCCAGAGGAAACAAACUCUGUUUUUAGUGAUGUCUGAGUACUAUAUAAUAGUUAAAACUUUCAACAACGGAUCUCUUGGUUCUG